AUGAAUGUGUUGUCCCAUGACCAGUUCGUGCAACUGUCCGUAACACUUUGGGCGCUUUGGUCUGCUCGUCGCAAAGCUAUACACGAAGGAAUUUUCCAGAGUCCUCAGUCCAUACAUGCCUUCAUUAAUAGCUUCAUCACCGAGCUGAAGUUGAUCAGGGAGAACCAACCUAUGCACGCGCACCUGGGCGGACCAAGGGCCUCCCACCCCCUCCGACCCAAAGCACCACCUGCUGGUUUCGCGAAAAUUCAUGUUGAUGCGGCAGUUCUGAAAGGAAGAGGGGGAUCUGCAGCGGCUAUUUGUAGAGACAGCCUAGGCAAUUUCCUGAGAAGUUCGGCAUUGGUUGUACAGGGAGUUGAUGAUCCCUCCAUUCUGGAGACCAUAGCUUGCAGAGAGGCUUUGGCAUUGGCACAAGACCUUCAACUACAAAAUAUGAUCGUAGCAUCAGAUGCCAAGCAAGUCGUCCAGGAGAUAAACAACAGAUCCAGAGGUGCGAACGGAGCUAUUAUUAGUGAGAUUAAUUCAUAUUCAAGUUUGUUUCGAUGUAUUUUUUCUUUCGAAAGUCGUAGGGCAAACAUAGAAGCUCAUAAGCUAGCCAAGCACUCGUUGUCUUUAGGUCGGGGGCGCCACGUUUGGUUUGGCCAACCCCAUGAUCUUACUUGUAUCCCACAAUCUAUGGUAUUCGAUUAA
rnacentral:rRNA from 1 species